UUUGUUCAGAUUAGGGUUUUUUUGUUCAGGUUUGUUACAUUAAUUUGUUUAGAUUAGGGUUUUUUUGUUCAGAUUUGUUACAUCGAUUUGUUCAGAUUUGGGUUUCUUUUUGUUCAAAUGUUUUCGUUGAUUUGUUCAUAACAAUCAUGUUAUUUGUUUUUUAUUGUGAUAUAAACCCUAAAUCCUCAUGUUUACGAACGGUGGUUAUCCGAUUGUUGUUGUUUGUUGAUUUGAACGUUGAAGAAGAAUGAAGGUGUGUUAUGGUGUCGGCUGGAUCCGAAAUGCUUUUUAGGGUUAUGCAUGCAAGAGAGGAUGAGACUGCUUCAUUAGCGUUUGGUGUUGGAAGACUACCUAAAUGGUAGCCGUAUCGAUGAUGAUGUUUAGUUAGUGAAGUGGUUAGUCGGUGUAAGUACAUCCAACUACAAAGGUAUUUCGUAAUCUACCAAAUUCAGAGUAUCGGUUUCAUCGCUUUCUAUAAAUUAUUUUGGAUUUCCACGAAAGCAUCUCUAAUCGGCACUACGUUUUUACACAAAGUUUCAGUGGUUGUAAAUGCACGAUUAUACCUACAGACCUGUUUGGGUCGAGACAGGUUCGGGUUGGAACACGCUUUGGUCAGAGUUUGUUACAAGUCAGAAGUGGUUCAGGUCAUUACGGGUUCGUGUCAUAACAGAUGGACUUAGAAAAAGAUGUUAUAGAUUGAAAGUAAAGGACGGAAUCAAAAGUUCUAAGUUGGAUUCCUGAAGUAUUGUUUGUAUUAGAGGACACUUCGAACAGUUAGAGACAGAGUUCAGGUGUAUCCUCAACAUUUAUGGCCCUAAAUCAUCCG